UACGUAGGGUGCGAGCGUUGUCCGGAAUUACUGGGCGUAAAGGGCUCGUAGGCGGCCAACUAAGUCAUACGUGAAAUCCCUCAGCUUAACUGGGGAACUGCGUGUGAUACUGGAUGGCUUGGAUUUGGGAGAGGGAUGCGGAAUUCCAGGUGUAGCGGUGAAAUGCGUAGAUAUGUGUCGGAACACCAAUGGCGAAAGCAAUCUCCUGGACGCAAACUGACGCUGAGAUACGAAAGCCAAGGUAGCAAACAGG
rnacentral:rRNA from 1 species